rfam:Ovis aries breed Texel chromosome 5, whole genome shotgun sequence.
ACAGAGGCUUUUUUCAAAGCCAUUCGCAUAGUCAGCUCAAGAGACU